AGUUCGAUCAUGGCUCAGAUUGAACGCUGGCGGGAUGCUUUACACAUGCAAGUCGAACGGCAGCACGGACUUCGGUCUGGUGGCGAGUGGCGAACGGGUGAGUAAUGUAUCGGAACGUGCCUAGUAGCGGGGGAUAAUUCGGCGCGAAAGCGUAGCUAAUACCGCAUAGCCGCUCCUCGGGGAAAGCGGGGGACCUUCGGUCUCAGUAAUUCAGAGCUGGGCUGACAUCGAUUGAAGCAAGUUGGUGGGGUAACGGCUCACCAAGGCGACGAUCCGUAGCUGGUUUGAGAGGACGACCAGCCACAUCAGACCGAGACACGGCCCAGACUCCUACGGGAGGCAGCAGUGGGGAAUUUUAAUAUGGGGAAACUGAUCCAGCCAUCCCGCGGGGGCGAUGAAGGCCUUCGGUAAAGCACUUUUGGUGCAGGAAGAAACGGCACGGACACGACUUUGCAACCGACGGCACUGCAGAAGCACCAUAACUCACGGCGCCAGCAGCCGCGGCAUGGAUGUAGGGUGCAAGCGUUAAUCGGAAUUACUGGGCGAAGCGCAGCGGUUCGAGAAGACGGUGAACCCCAGAGCUUAACUUUUGGAACUGGCAUUUUUAACUACCGAGUUGAGAGUGGUCGGUGAGGGAGGUGGAAUUCCUGCAGCAAGGAAUGCGUAGAUAUGCGGAUACACUGACGGCGAAGGCAGCCUCCUGGGAUAACACUGACGCUCAUGCACGGAAAGCGGGGAGCAAACAGGAUUAGAUACCCUGGUAAUCCACGCCCUAAACGAUGUCAAAUUAGCUGUUGGGGCCUUCGGGGCCUGCAGCGCAGCUAACGCGCGAAGUUGGACCGCCCGUGGAGUACGGUCGCAAGAUUAAAACUCAAAGGAACGAUGACCCGCACAAGCGGUGGAUGAUGUGGAUUAAUUGAUGCAACGCGAAAACCUUACCUACCUUUGAUAUGUCUGGAAUCCCGAAGAGAUUUGGGAGUGCUCGCAAGAGAACCGGUAAAGCGGAACACAGGGUGCUGUGCAGCUGGUCGUCAGCUCGUGUCGAGAUGUUGGGUUAAGUCCCGCAACGAGCGCAACCCUUUGUCAUUAGUUGCGCUUUAGAAAGGGCACUCUAAUGAGACUGCUGUGACAAACCGAGGAAGGUGGGGAUGACGUCAAGUCCUCAUGGCCCUUAUGGGUAGGGCUUCACACGUCAUACAAUGGUCGGGACAGAGGGUCGCCAACCCGCGAGGGGGAGCCAAUCCCAGAAACCCGAUCGUAGUCCGGAUCGUAGUCUGCAACUCGACCGCGUGAAGUCGGAAUCGCUAGUAAUCGCGGAUCAGCAUGUCGCGGUGAAUACGUUCCCGGGUCUUGUACACACCGCCUGUCACACCAUGGGGAGGGGUUUUACCAGAAGUAGUUAGCCUAACUGUAAGGAGGGCGAUUGAUUACGGUAGAUUCAUGACUGGGGUGAAGUCGUAACAAGGUAA
rnacentral:rRNA from 1 species